GCUUCACCCAUCCACAUGUACUCACAAAUCAACUAAAAACAUUCGAAAUGAAGGUAUGUGUAUCAGUACAUAUACGAUAAUGUAUAUUUAUAUAUACAUUUUUGCAGCCAUUUUAGCAAAUAAAUCGUAGAGUUGAACUUAUUUACAACUAAAUGCCAUUAGCAUUAAAAAAAAUUUCCAAAAUAAUUAAUUUUAC
rnacentral:sRNA from 1 species